rfam:Bursaphelenchus xylophilus, Ka4C1 (inbred line), WGS project CADV01000000 data, contig: scaffold00110.22
GCCCUCGUAGCUCAGUGGUUUCAGAGCGUCGGUCUUGUAAACCGAAGGUCCAAGGUUCGAAUCCUUGCUGGGGCA